GGGAGCAUUAGCACUCCGACCGUUUCCUGUAAUCAGCUUGAAUGAUCCAGCACGCAAGCUUGGAAAUUAAAUUUUAGAAGUGAUUUUUCCAUCCUAGAAACUGUUUCAAUUCCAGCUUCUUGCAGAUGAACCUCUGAUACGCGGCAAAUUUACAAGCCCUGGGACUGAUGUAAUGAGUCUGCACAAUGGGAACCUCGCCAUGAGACAAAGAGGCCACCUGGAGGCUGGGCAAAGCGAGAGCGACGAACCUGCCCCGAGCACCUGCGGCACGCUGGACAUUAGGAGUGGAGAUCAGGACACAGACACACACACAGGGAAGACCCUGUGAAAACACAGGGAGAACACAUGUGUAAGCCAAGGAGAGAGGCUCAGAGGAAACCAGUCCUACUGACACCGUGAUCUCGGACUUCCAGCCUCCAGAACUGUGAGAAGAUGAAAUUGCUGGCUUCCUUUUCUUGAGGAAAGUCAGACUUACAAAGGAAUGAAAACUGACUACCAGGAGGCUUCCCACCCCCAACCAUAGAAGCCAGAAAGGAGCAGUCCCUUCAAAAUGCUGAGAAGAAGUGCACUAAACAGCCCCUUCUGUACCACAGGCACAGAGCAGAUAGGAAGCUGUGAAUUCCUGGGGACAUUUUUGUUUUACUGCCCCAAAGGAGAUAAUAGUGACCACCUAACAGAAGAGAAAGAAUCAGAGGGUCUGGAUCUUACCUGGAUC